rnacentral:rRNA from 1 species
CCUACGGGUGGCAGCAGUAGGGAAUUUUGCUCAAUGGGGGAAACCCUGAAGCAGCAACGCCGCGUGGAGGAUGAAGGCUUUCGGAUUGUAAACUCCUUUUGUUGGAGAAGAUAAUGACGGUAUCUAACGAAUAAGCACCGGCUAACUCCGUGCCAGCAGCCGCGGUAAUACGGAGGGUGCAAGCGUUACUCGGAAUGACUGGGCGUAAAGAGCGCGUAGGCGGGAGAGCAAGUCAGAUGUGAAAUCCUAUGGCUUAACCAUAGAACUGCAUUUGAAACUGUUAGUCUAGAGUAUGUGAGAGGUAGGUGGAAUUCUAGGUGUAGGAGUAAAAUGCGUAGAGAUCAAGAAGAAUACUCAUGGCGAAGGCGACCUGCUAGAACAUAACUGACGCUGAUGCGCGAAAGCGUGGGGAGCAAACAGGAUUAGAUACCCGGGUAGUC